rnacentral:rRNA from 1 species
GGGUUGUGAGGUUAAGCGACUAAGCGUACACGGUGGAUGCCCUGGCAGUCAGAGGCGAUGAAGGGCGUGCUAAUCUGCGAUAAGCGCCGGUAAGGUGAUAUGAACCGUUAUAACCGGCGAUACCCGAAUGGGGAAACCCAGUGUGACUUGUCACACUAUCAUUAACUGAAUCCAUAGGUUAAUGAGGCGAACCGGGGGAACUGAAACAUCUAAGUACCCCGAGGAAAAGAAAUCAACCGAGAUUCCCCCAGUAGCGGCGAGCGAACGGGGAGGAGCCCAGAGCCUGAAUCAGCAUGUGUGUUAGUGGAAGCGUCUGGAAAGGCGCGCGAUACAGGGUGACAGCCCCGUACACAAAAGCGCAUGUGCUGUGAGCUCGAUGAGUAGGGCGGGACACGUGGUAUCCUGUCUGAAUAUGGGGGGACCAUCCUCCAAGGCUAAAUACUCCUGACUGACCGAUAGUGAACCAGUACCGUGAGGGAAAGGCGAAAAGAACCCCGGCGAGGGGAGUGAAAAAGAACCUGAAACCGUGUACGUACAAGCAGUGGGAGCACCCUUUUGGGUGUGACUGCGUACCUUUUGUAUAAUGGGUCAGCGACUUAUAUUCUGUAGCAAGGUUAACCG